rfam:Trichodesmium erythraeum IMS101, complete genome.
AGGAGCCGUGUGAGGUGAAAGUCUCAUGCACGGUUCUGAAGACGAGCCGGGUAGGGUAACUUACCAGGCUUAGUUUAAC